AAGUCGUAACAAGGUUUCCGUAGGUGAACCUGCGGAAGGAUCAUUACCGAGUGAGGGCCCUCUGGGUCCAACCUCCCACCCGUGUUUAUUUUACCUUGUUGCUUCGGCGGGCCCGCCUUAACUGGCCGCCGGGGGGCUCACGCCCCCGGGCCCGCGCCCGCCGAAGACACCCUCGAACUCUGUCUGAAGAUUGUAGUCUGAGUGAAAAUAUAAAUUAUUUAAAACUUUCAACAACGGAUCUCUUGGUUCCGGCAUCGAUGAAGAACGCAGCGAAAUGCGAUACGUAAUGUGAAUUGCAAAUUCAGUGAAUCAUCGAGUCUUUGAACGCACAUUGCGCCCCCUGGUAUUCCGGGGGGCAUGCCUGUCCGAGCGUCAUUGCUGCCCUCAAGCCCGGCUUGUGUGUUGGGCCCCGUCCUCCGAUCCCGGGGGACGGGCCCGAAAGGCAGCGGCGGCACCGCGUCCGGUCCUCGAGCGUAUGGGGCUUUGUCACCCGCUCUGUAGGCCCGGCCGGCGCUUGCCGAUCAACCCAAAUUUUUAUCCAGGUUGACCUCGGAUCAGGUAGGGAUACCCGCUGAACUUAAGCAU
rnacentral:rRNA from 1 species